rnacentral:rRNA from 1 species
GACGGACGCUGGCGGCGUGCCUAAUACAUGCAAGUUGAGCGCUGAAGGUUGGUACUUGUACCAACUGGAUGAGCAGCGAACGGGUGAGUAACGCGUGGGGAAUCUGCCUUUUAGCGGGGGACAACAUUUGGAAACGAAUGCUAAUACCGCAUAAAAACUUUAAACACAAGUUUUAAGUUUGAAAGAUGCAAUUGCAUCACUCAAAGAUGAUCCCGCGUUGUAUUAGCUAGUUGGUGAGGUAAAGGCUCACCAAGGCGAUGAUACAUAGCCGACCUGAGAGGGUGAUCGGCCACAUUGGGACUGAGACACGGCCCAAACUCCUACGGGAGGCAGCAGUAGGGAAUCUUCGGCAAUGGACGGAAGUCUGACCGAGCAACGCCGCGGGAGGGAAGAAGGGUUUCGGAUCGUAAAACUCUGUUGGUAGAGAAGAACGUUGGUGAGAGUGGAAAGCUCAUCAAGUGACGGUAACUACCCAGAAAGGGACGGCUAACUACGUG